rnacentral:rRNA from 1 species
UACGGGGGGAGCAAGCGUUGUUCGGAUUUACUGGGCGUAAAGGGCGCGUAGGCGGUCAGCACAAGUCAGUUGUGAAAUCUCCGGGCUUAACUCGGAAAGGUCAACUGAUACUGUGCGACUAGAGUGCAGAAGGGGCAACUGGAAUUCUCGGUGUAGCGGUGAAAUGCGCAGAUAUCAGGAGGAACACCGGUGGCGAAGGCGGAUCUCUGGGCCUGUCCUGACGCUGAGGCGCGAAAGCUAGGGGAGCGAACAGG